GGGCCCGCACAAGCGGUGGAGGAUGUGGCUUAAUUCGAGGCUACGCGAAGAACCUUACCCAGGCUUGACGUGUCUAGGAAUUCCUGUGAAAGCAGGAAGUGCCCUUCGGGGAACCUUAGCGCAGGUGCUGCAUGGCUGUCGUCAGCUCGUGUCGUGAGAUGUCGGGUUAAGUCCCUUAACGAGCGAAACCCUUGUCCUUAGUUGCCAGCACGUAAUGGUGGGAACUCAUGGGAUACUGCCGGGGUCAACUCGGAGGAAGGUGGGGAUGACGUCAAAUCAUCAUGCCCCUUAUGUCUUGGGCUUCACGCAUGCUACAAUGGCCGGUACAGAGGGCUGCAAUACCGCAAGGUGGAGCGAAUCCCAAAAAGCCGGUCUCAGUUCGGAUUGAGGUCUGCAACUCGACCUCAUG
rnacentral:rRNA from 1 species